rnacentral:rRNA from 1 species
AGAAGCUUGCUUCUCGGGGUUGUAGGACUGGACAUUGGAGUUACCAAAGUUCGACGUAGUCGAAGUCAGCUGGAAAGCUGCGCCAUAGAAGGUGAAAGCCCUGUAAACGAAACGGCGGACUCUCCGUUCAGGAUCCUGAGUACGGCGGAACACGUGAAAUUCCGUCGGAAUCCGGGAGGACCAUCUCCCAAGGCUAAAUACUCCCUAGUGACCGAUAGUGAACCAGUACCGUGAGGGAAAGGUGAAAAGCACCCCGGAAGGGGAGUGAAACAGUUCCUGAAACCGUGUGCCUACAAUUAGUCAAAGCCCGUUAACGGGUAAUGGCGUGCCUUUUGUAGAAUGAACCGGCGAGUUACGUUUGCCUGCGAGGUUAAGAUGAAAAGUCGGAGCCGGAGCGAAAGCGAGUCUGAACAGGGCGCUUCAGUAGGUAGAUGUAGACCCGAAACCAAGUGACCUACCCAUGACCAGGUUGAAGGUGUGGUGAAACACACUGGAGGACCGAACCCAUGUAUGUUGAAAAAUGCUGGGAUGAGUUGUGGGUAGCGGUGAAAUUCCAAACGAACUUGGAGAUAGCUGGUUCUCUCCGAAAUAGCUUUAGGGUUAGCCUCGGAGGAUGGAUCAUGGAGGUAGAGCACUGUUUGAACUAGGGGCCCGUCAAGGGUUACUGAAUUCAGAUAAACUCCGAAUACCAUUGAUCUUACUCCGGGAGUCAGACAGUGAGCGAUAAGGUCCAUUGUCGAAAGGGGAACAGCCCAGAUCACCAGUUAAGGUCCCUAAAUUUAUGCUAAGUGGAAAAGGAUGUGGCGUUGCACAGACAACUAGGAUGUUGGCUCAGAAGCAGCCACCAUUUAAAGAGUGCGUAAUAGCUCACUAGUCGAGUGGCACUGCGCCGAAAAUAUACCGGGGCUAAGCAUAAUACCGAAACUGUGGGUGCACCCGUCAGGGUGCGCGGUAGGAGAGCGUUCUAAGGGCGUUGAAGGUCGAUCGUGAGGACGGCUGGAGCGCUUAGAAGUGAGAAUGCCGGCAUGAGUAGCGAAAGAUCAGUGAGAAUCUGAUCCACCGUAUGACUAAGGUUUCCUGGGGAAGGCUCGUCCUCCCAGGGUUAGUCGGGAUCUAAGGCGAGGCCGCAAGGCGUAGUCGAUGACAAGCAGGUUGAGAUUCCUGCACUAGUUUAUUUUGUUUAAGCGAUGGAGGGACGCAGGAGGCUAAGGAAAGCGCACGGCUGGAAAAGUGCGUCCAAGCAGUAAGUCCGGUAGCGAGUGAAAUGCUUGCCGCCUUAAGGACAAGCUGUGAUGGGGAGCGAAAUUAAAGUAGCGAAGUUCCUGAUGUCACACUGCCAAGAAAAGCUUCUAGUGAGAAAUAAACUACCCGUACCGCAAACCGACACAGGUAGUCGAGGAGAGUAUCCUCAGGUGAGCGAGCGAACUCUCGUUAAGGAACUCGGCAAAAUGACCCCGUAACUUCGGAAGAAGGGGUGCUGACCGCAAGGUCAGCCGCAGUGAAUAGGCCCAAACAACUGUUUAUCAAAAACACAGGUCUCUGCUAAAUCGUAAGAUGAUGUAUAGGGGCUGACGCCUGCCCGGUGCUGGAAGGUUAAGAGGAUGAGUUAGCGCAAGCGAAGCCCAGAAUUGAAGCCCCAGUAAACGGCGGCCGUAACUAUAACGGUCCUAAGGUAGCGAAAUUCCUUGUCGGGUAAGUUCCGACCCGCACGAAAGGCGUAAUGAUUUGGGCACUGUCUCAACGAGAGACUCGGUGAAAUUAUAGUACCCGUGAAGAUGCGGGUUACCCGCGACAGGACGGAAAGACCCCAUGGAGCUUUACUGUAGCUUGAUAUUGAGUGUUGGUACCGCUUGUACAGGAUAGGUAGGAGCCGUAGAGAUCGGAACGCUAGUUUCGAUGGAGGCAUUGGUGGGAUACUACCCUAGCUGUAUGAACACUCUAACCCGCGCCACUGAUCGUGGCGGGAGACAGUGUCAGGUAGGCAGUUUGACUGGGGCGGUCGCCUCCUAAAAUGUAACGGAGGCGCCCAAAGGUUCCCUCAGAAUGGUUGGAAAUCAUUCGCAGAGUGUAAAGGUAGAAGG